rnacentral:misc_RNA from 1 species
ACUCUACUUUACGAGUUUCUGAAGGCAGCCAUGUGAGUCGAAAAGUAAUCUCGCUUUUCAAUUAUUUUUUACUACACCAUUUUCCUCUUGUGAACGAAAAUUCAUAAAAGAUAAAAGAAAAAAUGGAGUUUAUGCAUAAUGACGAUGUGCCAUUUGAUAGCCAAAAGAUCGAAACAGUACAACAGAGUAUUGUAAAAAGUAUAAAUUCUCGGUUAAAUCAAGCACGAUCCGAUGGUUUACUUCUGCUGGAUAGACUUCUGCCUUGUUCUAAGGACACAUUAUCAAAAUAUGGUUUAUUCUGGAUAACUAAUGCCAUUAAAGUAGUGGAAAACAUACAUAGUAAUAUACAAGAUUUAACACUGGCAUGCAAAGUAUUAGGUCCUCUAAUUGAACAUUGUAAGAAUAUCCCAGAAUUACAUAAACAGAUUUCCACACGAAUUAUUAAACAGAUUAUAAAUGCACUUAGUGCUUUACGAACAAAUGCAAAAUGUGGAGCGGUGUAUUACUUAAUAGCUGUUUUGCUAUAUCAUUAUCCUGAAGUUUGCGAACGGUUUCAGGAAUUGAUAAAAAAAAUGAUAUUACUACAAAUUGAUUCAACUGAUGACAAUUUGGUUAAUGCAAGUGCAAAAUGCUAUGUUCUUUUUUCUAAAGCAACAGAGCGUUCAUUUAAAUCAACAGAAGCUACACCUAUGUAUACCAGAUUAAUAUAUAACGAAAUGUUGCUUUGUAAUAAUUUAAAUGCUAUAAUGGAUCAAUUAUUCCGUGAAUUAAUAGAGCUGAAAAAGAAAGAUACAAAAAAGGAUCUAUUAGAAUUACCAUAUAUAACUGAUAGGGAGUAUAACAAACAGGAACAAAGAUUUUCAAAUUUGUGUAUAUAUCUCUCCUCAAUGUUACGUGGAUAUGAAGCAAGAAAUUCAGUUUUGCCUCAGAAUAUUUUACAGGUUUUAAGUCGGGGAUUAAUGAUUACACCAUUAAAUUUGAAGACUAAAACUUCUGACGAACGGAUGCUAUACAUAAUCUUGCCAAAAUUACAUAUUAGUUUGCUCACAGUUUUAGAUGCACUGAUAAAUGGAUUUGCACAGGAGUUGGUACCAUUUGGAAUAACAAUAUUAGAGUUAUUCCAAACAGUAUUACAAUGGACAAAUACUGAUUUUAAAAAUCAAAUAACAUUUAGCAAUAGUAAACCUUUCAGAAGUGUAAAAAUACAGGCUUACAAAUGUCUCUGUUCAUGGCUGAUGAAUACUAGUUCAUUGUCGGGUAUAGAGACAAUCGCAAACGAAUGUAUUAAUUCUAUAUUGAAGGAUAUAAUACCAGAACGAGAUCGUAUAUUAUUAACUAUGCACCAAAAAACGCCACAAUUAUCUAAACGGGCUAUAAAACGUUUUAAACAAAGUCAAUAUGAAAAUAGCACAGUUUUGAAUAAUGAAAAAGAUUCUAUUAAAAGUGGACAUUUAGACCCAGAUUUGUGCAAAGAGGCUCUUAUUACUUUGUAUAAUAUACUUUCCAGUGGUACAAUAUUAUUAAAAGAAACGUUUUACAAGAACGUUCUAAAUACUGUGAUACCUUUAUUAUACAACCUUUAUUUAAAUUCUUUUGAACAAAGCUUUUAUAAAGAAAACCACAAAUGUCGCUUGGAACUAUUCAAAGUCUUAAAAGCUUUGCUAAUGUAUCCACAUAUUACGUUAGGAUUUCCAAUACAAUAUUGUCUAGAAAUAUCACAUAUGGCAGCUUAUGAUAUUGAUAUAAACAUCAUUCAAGAAGCAAAACUUGCAUUAGCUGAAUUAGAAAAAAUUAUACAUCCUGCUGCACCUACAUUACAAUUACCUCGACAACAGGAACCUGAUAAUGAAUUUGUUUCUGAAAAUCAAACAGAAGAAGUUGCUAUUACUAGCAAGUCAGACAAAGGAAGUUGGGUUGAAGAAGAUAUUUCAGAAAAUGUUUUUGAAAGUCAAGCAGAAGAAGUUGCUACUACUAGCAAGUCAGACAAAAGAAGUUGGGUUGAAGAAGAUAUUUCAGAAAAUGUUUCUGAAAGUCAAGCAGAAGAAGUUGCUAUUACUAGCAAGUCAGACAAAAGAAGUUGGACUGAAGAAGAUCUUUCAGAAAAUGAUGUAACGUUAUCUGUACAUAAACGACCAAAAAUAAUUGCGUCAGAAAUAAUACAGAAUGGAAAUAAUAUCAAAUUAAUAAAGAAAAAGAGCACAUUAAAUAUAGAUAAAUUUGAGACAGAGAAGAAUUCAUAUAAAAACAUUAGCAAAUUAAAUAAAAAUGAUAAAAUUGAAGAAGAGCUUCCUAAAUUGAAGAAUUCAUGUAAAAACAUUAGCAAAUUAAAUAAAAAUGAUAAAAUUGAAGAAAAGCUUCCUAAUGAUACAGAUAUAGCAUCAUUUAUAUGUGAACAGCCAAAAAUAGUUACUUCAAGAUGUACUGAAAUAAUUCCAAGUAAAAAUACAAUAGAAUCAAUAGAAAUAGUUCCGAGUGAAAAUACUAUAAAACUAAUAGAAACAAAUAAUAGUAUAAUGGAUAUAGAUAAAACUCAAGAAGAUGAGAAUUUAUGUGAAAAAGAAGAAACUGGAAAUAUAUUACAAGAAGAAUGUGAAAUAUACUAUAAUAAAGAAAAAAAUCAGCAUAAUAUUGAUAAAAUCAUAAAUUCCACAACUGAAAAUAAAGUAGAAUGUGAAUACAUUACACAUGUUAACACAGAAGAAAAGAAACAACUCAAAGAAAAUUUAAUAUCAUGUACAAAUGAACCGGAUAAAAAAGUAGAAGAUAUUUUUCUUCAGAAAUUUUCUGAAUUUGAUGAAGAAAUACAUAUGGCGAUGAAUGAAAAGUCAAGAACAAAAAGUGAAGAAGAAUUGGUCAAUGCACAGGAUAUACAAUCAUUGCAAGAAGAAGAAAUAAAUUGGCAGACAGAUUAAUAUAUAUUUUUUUAUUUGAUACAUUUAUACAAUAAAAAGAUAUGUGUAUAAACUAAAAGAAGUUGAACAAAUUUAACCAGCGAAUGGUAUUGAUGGUAUAGGUACCUUUGAUAUUGUUCCUGUGGUACCUUGUUCUAUUAAUUGUAAAGGAGCUUUAUAUAAACUACACAUUGGUGAUUGCAAUCGUUCUGGCACAGCGGUCCAUAAUCCCAUUUCGCAGUAUCUAGAACAUUAAUAGCAAACGGCACGGUUUAAUGUACCAGCAUGAAUAUGUAAUUCGUAAGUUUUUCGCAGCGUUACCUAAAAUUAUUCAUGCUUUUCGGAUCCGUCGUGAUACUAAUGAAAGAAUUUGUUUUAUCUGAGAAAUUUGGAAUUAUAUCCG